AUGAACAACCUGGAACCAGAGUGGAGAGAAUGGCAUGUGUCACGGAGGCGUUUUCUGUGUGGUGUUAGAUGCCCUGGAAGGUUUCGCUUCGGGUCCUCAUCCUCCUCCUGCUCUCUUGAAAUCCUGGAGGGCAUGAAGUGUGUGUGGCUGUGGUCUAUUGCAUUGAUUUUAUCAGGAAGUCCGCGCCUGUCAGGGACUUUGCCUCGUCAAAUUAGGCCUUUUGACAUAACGUCCACAUUAAAGCCGGCGUGUGGAAUAAACACAUCGUCAUCAUUCAGUGUGAGCUGUUACCUUCAGCAUGGAACGUUACCAGCAAUCAAUCUGCGGCAAAUUCAGAGCGAUGUACAAUCUCCAGAAACCACAGAGUCUUUUUGAUUCAUGUCCGCUGUGCACAGCAGAAGUACAUCUUUGUUUUAUUCAUAAUCACCUGAGCUUCCUGAUCAAAGACUCCCACAGUACCUCCGUCCACCCACUGAGUGUUCCUCUGUGAUUAAACGGGACCGCCUGCCCGUCACGCACCAUCCAGAACCCGCCAUAAUCUUUUCAUCAGGUGCUUCCUUCAUUUCAGUCUUCGUUAGUCGUCCUUGUGGGAAUUCUGCCUCUCUUUCUUCCCCCUCUUUUUCCUUCCAGGAUGAAAUGAAUGGGAAAUAAUAAAGCUUACAUACUGCUUUGAUGCUUCUACCUG
ensembl:lncRNA uncharacterized LOC109112040